ACAAUUUUGCAGCCAAAGGAGAAGAAUCCCGUAACUCUCCUCUCAAAUUUCUCACAAAUCUUCAAAACAUCAUAUCUCAUUCGUUUUAAGUCCGAAUUGAGCGAUUCUUGCGGCCACGGAACGAGGAAAUGAUUAUCUACAGAUCUAUGGCUUCAAUUAGAGACUCGACGAAGCGACUAUCGGCAAGGCUCGAGGGGAACGGAUCGAGAUGUCUUCGUAUUUAUUUUAAGAAUUUGGAUAGCAAGUGGGAUAGUAUGAUAUGAUUUGAAGAGUCAAGCAUCCGAAGUUUUAAUUCUCGGAAGUCAUUUGUACAAGAAGAAAAAGAAGGUUUUCAUUCUAGCAGUCCGCAGUAGUCUAGAUAUUUUAACUAGAAUUUUGUAUAACGCAUUUUAACUCUGAUAUUUUUUGUAAAAUGGGUUCACAUGUAUUUUGAUAUAUGAAACAUGAUUUGAUUUGCAAAAAAUUUACACAGGAUUUUAGGCUUGCUACGGGUUUCGGAGCUACCACUCCCAUUCCCUAGCGCCGGUCGCGACUCAUAAAUUUGGAUCGUGACACAUCACUCUGAGCUACAAAUGUAUUAACGAUUACAGAUGAUUUAUGAAAAGCGAUUUAAAA